GCAACUUACCUAUCAGAGGGGGAUAGCCCGGCGAAAGUCGGAUUAAUACCCCAUAAAACAGGGGUCCCGCGUGGGAAUAUUUGUUAAAGAUUCAUCGCUGAUAGAUAGGCAUGCGUUCCAUUAGGCAGUUGGCGGGGUAACGGCCCACCAAACCGACGAUGGAUAGGGGUUCUGAGAGGAAGGUCC
rnacentral:rRNA from 1 species